rnacentral:rRNA from 1 species
GACGAACGCUGGCGGCGUGCCUAACACAUGCAAGUCGAACGGGGUGUUCCUUCGGGGGACACUUAGUGGCGAACGGGUGAGUAACGCGUGAGAAACCUGCCUUUCAGUGGGGGACAACAGUUGGAAACGACUGCUAAUACCGCAUAAUGUUUCGAGAGGGCAUCCUUUUGAAACCAAAGCUUUAUGUGCUGAAAGAUGGUCUCGCGUCUGAUUAGCUAGUUGGUGAGGUAACGGCUCACCAAGGCGACGAUCAGUAGCCGGUCUGAGAGGAUGAACGGCCACAUUGGGACUGAGAUACGGCCCAGACUCCUACGGGAGGCAGCAGGUGGGGAAUAUUGGGCAAUGGGGGAAACCCUGACCCAGCAACGCCGCGUGAAGGAAGAAGGCUUUCGGGUUGUAAACUUCUUUUACCAGGGACGAAGAACGUGACGGUACCUGGAGAAAAAGCAACGGCUAACUACGUG